AGCAGCCGCGGUAAUUCCAGCUCCAAUAGCGUAUAUUAAAGUUGUUGCAGUUAAAAAGCUCGUAGUUGAAUUUCGGGAUCAAAUUGUCGGUCGUGCCUCGGUACGUACUGGUAUUAUUGGUUCCUCCCUUCUGACGAACCACGAUGUCAUUAAUUUGGUGUCAUGGGAAAUCAGGACUGUUACUUUGAAAAAUUAGAGUGUUUAAAGCAGGCUCGCGCUUGAAUACAUUAGCAUGGAAUAAUGAAAUAGGACGUUUGAUUCUAUUUUGUUGGUUUCUAGGAUCGACGUAAUGAUUAAUAGGGAUAGUUGGGGGCAUUAGUAUUCAAUUGUCAGAGGUGAAAUUCUUGGAUUUAUUGAAGACUAACUACUGCGAAAGCAUUUGCCAAGGAUGUUUUCAUUAAUCAAGAACGAAAGUUAGGGGAUCGAAGACGAUCAGAUACCGUCGUAGUCUUAACCAUAAACUAUGCCGACUAGGGAUCGGAUGAUGUUAAUUUUUUAAUGACUCAUUCGGCGCCUUACG
rnacentral:rRNA from 1 species